GGGAGGUAGUGACAAUAAAUAACAAUACGGGGCUCAUUUGAGUCUCGUAAUUGGAAUGAGUACAAUUUAAAUACCUUAACGAGGAACAAUUGGAGGGCAAGUCUGGUGCCAGCAGCCGCGGUAAUUCCAGCUCCAAUAGCGUAUAUUAAAGUUGUUGCAGUUAAAAAGCUCGUAGUUGAACUUCGAGAUUCGUCCAUUGGUCAGGCUUAACUGUCUGUACUGAUGUUUCGGAUUUCUACCUUCUGAAGAACCUUCAUGCUAUUAAUUUGGUGUGUUGGGGAAUCAGGACUA
rnacentral:rRNA from 1 species